UACGGAGGGUGCAAGCGUUGUUCGGAAUUACUGGGCGUAAAGCGCGUGUAGGCGGCUCUUUAAGUCUGAUGUGAAAGUCCGGGGCUCAACCCCGGAAGUGCAUUGGAUACUGGGGAGCUAGAGUACCGGAGGGGAAGGCGGAAUUCCUGGUGUAGCGGUGAAAUGCGUAGAUAUCAGGAGGAACACCUGUGGCGAAGGCGGCCUUCUGGACGGAUACUGACGCUGAGACGCGAAAGCGUGGGGAGCAAACAGG
rnacentral:rRNA from 1 species